UGAGGGAAGAAGUUUAUUGACGGUACCUCAUGAAUAAGGGGCUCCUAAUCUCGUGCCAGCAGGAGCGGUAAUACGAGAGCCCCGAGCGUUAUCCGGAAUUAUUGGGCGUAAAGGGUGCGUAGGUGGCACUGUUAGUCGUUUGUCAAAUCCUUGGGCUUAACCCAAGAACCGCGAACGAAACGGCAGAGCUAGAGAGUGUGAGGGGUAUAGGGAACUAAUAGUGUAGGGGUGAAAUCCGUUGAUAUUAU
rnacentral:rRNA from 1 species